UAGGGAAUUUUGCGCAAUGGACGAAAGUCUGACGCAGCAACGCCAUGUGUGGGAUGACGCAUUUCGGUGUGUAAACCACUGUCGGCAGGGAAUAAAGCCCACGUUUACGUGGGGGUGAAUGUACCUGCAGAGGAAGCCCCGGCUAACUUCGUGCCAGCAGCCGCGGUAAUACGAGGGGGGCAAGUGUUGUUCGGAAUCACUGGGCGUAAAGGGAGCGUAGGCGGAUGUUUAAGUCGGGUGUUUAAAACCGGGGCCCAACCCCGGAGCGGCACCCGAAACUGGGCAUCUUGAAUAGGUCAGAGGCUGGUGGAAUUGGAGGUGUAGCGGUGGAAUGCGUAGAGAUCUCCAAGAACACCUAUUGCGAAGGCAGCCAGCUGGGACCAUAUUGACGCUGAGGCUCGAAAGCAUGGGGAGCAAACAGG
rnacentral:rRNA from 1 species